UGGAUGAGCAGGAACCCAUGGGACUGUGGCAGUCUGCAGACCAGAUGGAAAUGCAUUGCCUGUAAAUGGGAGAGGCAGAGGUCUGCAGAGCCAGGAGCCUCACCCUGCGAGGAGCCUGUCUGGGUGUGAAAAAGGGGUCUCAGUGCAAGCUGAGCAGAGGAAGAGGGAAGAUGUGUGGCGGAGGGAGGCUGUUUCUAAACACAGUUGUUCAGGCACCUCCAGGAGGCAAUAGCAGCCCUUUUAAUCCGGAAGAAACCAGCAGAGCCUCCCCUCCUGCCUGCGAGGCUGACGAAGGGAGCUCCCGGAGGCAAAGUCCUCUCUCUUCUGAAAAGCUCGUGGAAGUUCCCUGCCAGUCAAUGGAGACAGUCGGAGUUUCCAUCGUCUUUAUCUUCAGUGUGCUGUUGUCUGGGUCUGCGCAGCUCUCCUUCCUCUGUACUUAUCCCCCCAGUGGCAAAUAGCUCUGACUCCCUGGUUUUAUGAACAGUGAUGGAGGUUUAACACCCACAAAGGCUUUCAAGACCUGUGAUUAAAUGCCAGUAGUGGAGAGGUUCAAUGGCCUGCUUAGGAUAAAGAAGGGAAAACAGCAGGAAAAUGCAUCUCCCAAGCAAAGUGGCUGCUGUUGUGCCAGGGAUGCUUGGGUCAGCGCGCUUGCAGCUGUGCUCGGGGCAGGGUUAUGGUGCCCGGCUGGGUCCUGCCACCAAGGCAGGAGGGGGAUGCACAGGAACGAACUGCAGCAUGUUUUACAGCAGUGAGGGACUCAAAUAGGUUCGGUGUUAGUUAAAAUAAUGCUCGGUAAAACCCUCCUACCUGGCAAUGCAAGCAAACUCCAUCUGGUGAGAAAGCAUUUAAGACUUGUACUUAAAAUGCACGUCGCUACCAAAGUCCUGAAAUAGAAUUGUCUUUACCUAAUCGUAGCACGGUACGACUUUAAGGCUUCAGAAACAGUUAAAUGUGUGUCCAGAGGAAAGGUAUUACCAGGGUAAUUGGGCUAUAAACCAGAACAUAUACACGGAGGGAUUCUGUCUGGCAAUACUACGGUAAUCUGGAGAGCAAAAUUUGAUUCUCUGUAAUCCUGGACUGCGUGUGUUGCUGCAUUAAAAAAAAUUUCUCAGUGGCAUUGUACAUGCCUGAAAAGCAAUGUAAUAUUUUAACAAGAAAUUUCUCUUAUUACAACCCUGCGUUUAGCAUAGCUCUUUCCUGAGUCCUCUGGAUGAUUGUUUGCAAGUAUCUGAUUGUCACGAAGAAAAGGUAAUUGUGGAAAGAAAAUGAGAGGCUCGAGAAAACUAUUUUGGAAGUUGAAGAAAAUUGUGGCACGAGCGGCAGCACGGCCGAUUGCCUGUAGUUGAUGAAAAUUAUUUGCAUAUUGCAAUUUUUAUCGCUGCAUUUGGCAUUCGCCUGCCUCUCACCAGUGUGUGAAAGGCCUGGGAGCUCUCUGCCUGUCUCCACGUGCAGACCAGGGUUUUUGCAAAUCCAAGGUGUUUUUUUCAAAAGCAUAGAGCCGUGGGGAUUGCUGCCCCAUGUCAGAGCAGUGGCUGAUGUCUUGGACCCUCUCCAUCAGUGGCCAGAGCUGGGGACAGGACCCGGCCCUUCCCCUGUGCGCUGGAACACACCUGACACCAGCACAGUUGGGCAGGGAGAUAUUAAUUCCCAUUCCAGAUAGGCUUUUGUGGCCUGCAACAUGAAAAUCAAUACCCUAGUGAUUUUUAAUCCACUGUGUUUUGUGUCUGUGUAUGUAUAACUGACGUGCUUGAGCUGGGUGCUCCGUGUAAAACAGCGCUGUGCCAUUAAAAUAGAUCCCUGUUUCCAACAGCUGACAAAGUCUCCCUUAACGUAAUCCAUAGCUCCGGUGCAUCUGCCAUGGCCGUUCCCUUCCUGUGACCUCCAAAAAGUGCCCGCACCAGCGAGGGGACGACCACCCUCCGCUUGCACGCUGCCGUGUGUUCACACACUGCUGCGGAGCCUUGCACCGUUUGGAGGUCUCCUUCACAAUAACCCACCAGGGCAAGGCUGCACGUAAACACAAGGCAGUUCUUGAUCUCAAGAGCUUAGGAUCAGCUCUUGAAGGUAUUUAAGCAUGACAAUUCUUGAUCUCGAGCUCAGGAUCAGCUUUAAUUAAGCUAUUUAAGCAUCCUGCCCCUCCUGGAAGCAAUGGGGGAAGGCUCCUCCCUUUGCACAGUCUGGUCCCUGCAGAUGGGCCAGGCGAGGACUUUCUUAAUGUGCAGUUGGGGAGCAGAUAAAUGAGAAAAAAACGCACGACGCUUCUUGACAGCAGCCACGUAGGUGGCUGUUGCAGCCCCCUGCUCGAGCCUCUCUUUCCCUGCUGUAAAACUGAGCUGUAGCCGUGUGGUGGGGGGAGCGCGGAGGAGCUGGAUGCAGCGGUGUGCUCUGGGAAGCUCUUCUUGCUAACCCUGCAUCAGGUUUUUCUCUUUUGGGGCUUGGCAAACUGCUUAAAUGCUUCUGGGACUCGCGCUCCCUUUCUGCAGGAGGAAGAUAAUAUUUACUGAUCUCUCCUAUCGUUCAUCUUAUUGUGGCUGCUAUGAUAGGGCUGUCAUACACAUAAGUGAUAUUAACUGAGCUAAGAUGGCAUGUUUCUCACCUGCUAUCACAUAUAUUACUGUUUUUUUCCGUUUUUCAUCAUCAUAGAGCUUAUUAUACCGUGGGG